rnacentral:lncRNA from 1 species
AUGAUCGCCUUCCUGCCCACCAUCCUAAACCAGCUAUUCCGAGUCCUCACCAGAGCCACCCAGGAGGAAGUCGCAGUUAAUGUGACUAGGGUCAUUAUUCACGUGGUUGCCCAGUGCCAUGAGGAAGGAUUGGAGAGCCACUUGAGGUCAUAUGUUAAGGUAUGUAAAACUAACUGUUCUGAUUAUUUACAUCUGUGGCUCUCCAAUUUUCCUUCUAAGAACUUUUUUUUUUUCUUUACAAGCCUGGUUAUUUAGGGAUGUACUUCCAACUUACUACCUAUCCUUUCUAUCCUAUCCCUAUUGCCGGAGCUUGUACCUGGACAAGAGAAAGUAUGAAGAGAGGCAGCCACUGCUUCCUUUAUUUAAUUUCAUCCUUUGAACAAGUAAAGUGACUCAAAUGAUGUAGAAGUUUAAAGAAUUUUAAGUUGCUCUUGGCUAGGCCUCUGGUAAAUUUAGUCUUCUUCAUUUUUCUUUUUUCCACACAAAAUUCCAGCAAAUGGCUACUCCUAAGCAAGAGAGGCUAAUUCUGGCCACAAUCAAAUGACUUGACUCUGUAGGACCGCAAGAGAUGUCAGUAGGACAAAUAUCAACAGGUUGUUUGUUUAUGUACAACAUUACAUAUAUACAUAGUGGCAGAUAUGUGUGCUCUAUUCAGACUACGUCUGCUUUGUGAAUUACAGCCAUGUGAUAGU